rnacentral:rRNA from 1 species
AUGAACGCUGGCGGCGUGCUUAACACAUGCAAGUCGAGCGAAGCACUUGGAACGGAUCCUUCGGGUGAAGCUCCAUUUGACUGAGCGGCGGACGGGUGAGUAACGCGUGGGUAACCUGCCUCAUACAGGGGAAUAACAGUUUGAAAAGACUGCUAAUGCCGCAUAAGCGCACAGGGCCGCAUGGCCCGGUGUGAAAAACUCCGGUGGUAUGAGAUGGACCCGCGUCUGAUUAGCUAGUUGGUGAGGUAACGGCCCACCAAGGCGACGAUCAGUAGCCGACCUGAGAGGGUGACCGGCCACAUUGGGACUGAGACACGGCCCAAACUCCUACGGGAGGCAGCAGUGGGGAAUAUUGCACAAUGGGGGAAACCCUGAUGCAGCGACGCCGCGUGGAUGAAGAAGUAUUUCGGUAUGUAAAGUCCUAUCAGCAGGGAAGAAAAUGACAGUACCUGACUAAGAAGCCCCGGCUAACUACGUGCCAGCAGCCGCGGUAAUACGUAGGGGGCAAGCGUUAUCCGGAUUUACUGGGUGUAAAGGGAGCGCAGGUGGCAAGGCAAGCCAGAAGUGAAAACCCGGGGCUUAACCCCGUGGAUUGCUUUUGGAACUGUCUGGCUAGAGUGCAGGAGGGGCAGGCGGAAUUCCUAGUGUAGCGGUGAAAUGCGUAGAUAUUAGGAGGAACACCGGUGGCGAAGGCGGCCUGCUGGACUGUAACUGACACUGAGGCUCGAAAGCGUGGGGAGCAAACAGGAUUAGAUACCCUGGUAGUCCACGCCGUAAACGAUGAGAACUAGGUGUUGGGGGAAUAACUCAGUGCCACAGUUAACGCAAUAAGUUCUCCGCCUGGGGAGUAUGCACGCAAGUGUGAAACUCAAAGGAAUUGACGGGGGCCCGCACAAGCGGUGGAGUAUGUGGUUUAAUUCGAAGCAACGCGAAGAACCUUACCUGCUCUUGACAUCUCCCUGACCGGCAAGUAAUGUUGCCUUUCCUUCGGGACAGGGAUGACAGGUGGUGCAUGGUUGUCGUCAGCUCGUGUCGUGAGAUGUUGGGUUAAGUCCCGCAACGAGCGCAACCCUUGUCCUCAGUAGCCAGCAGGUAAAGCUGGGCACUCUGUGGAGACUGCCGGGGAUAACCCGGAGGAAGGUGGGGAUGACGUCAAAUCAUCAUGCCCCUUAUGGUUUGGGCUACACACGUGCUACAAUGGCGUAAACAAAGAGAAGCGAUCCUGCGAGGGGGAGCAAAUCUCAAAAAUAACGUCUCAGUUCGGAUUGUAGUCUGCAACUCGACUACAUGAAGCUGGAAUCGCUAGUAAUCGCGGAUCAGAAUGCCGCGGUGAAUACGUUCCCGGGUCUUGUACACACCGCCCGUCACACCAUGGGAGUCAGUAACGCCCGAAGUCAGUGACCUAACCGAAAGGAAGGAGCUGCCGAAGGCGGGACCGAUAACUGGGGUG